rnacentral:lncRNA from 1 species
AGUCCAUCUUCCAAGUUUCCAGAAGCGGCUGAGAUUUUUAAAAACAGCUGUAAUCUGCGGUCAUUGAUGGUGGAGUAGAUUGUUUGCCAAACUAUUACCAUAACUGUCAACCGAAAUCAGAAAAAUAAUCUCAUUGUGCUGGACAGAUGCGUUUCCUGCAUUAUUGAUAUAGUCACUCUGGAGUAAUAGAGAAAUAUAAAGCAUUGUUCUAUUUACAAAAGGAGAUUGGCCAAGUCCUUGAAAGAUCCCCUGAAAUGCUGGGCACACUGACUAGCCUCUUGUAUAGAGUCUCAAGCCUGUGGCCAGAAGCAGCUGUGUGAAGUAGCCGCUGUGAUGGAUUGGGACCACAGAUACCACUUUGGAAGGAAAGGUUCCAGAAACCAAAGCUUGGGCCAUGGGUCUCUGGGAAACUGCAGCAGGAGUUUAGAGUCUAAUGGAUGGAACACAGAAGCAGGAAAAAAAUUGCUGUAGAAUAUGAUAAAGAUUAAUAGAGGCUUUGGGAAAGGCCUGUUUCCUGGCACUAAAAGUAGCCAGUCUUGGCGUGAACAGCCCUUGACAAUUCCCAGCAUAUGGUAAGAGAAGACGCUUCUGCCCACCCAUCAGUCUAGGAAAAGAUAGCAGCUGGUAGUUUUCACAUAACUGGAAAAAAAGUGCUUGCUAAGGAGAGGGAGUAAGAGGCCACUUGGAAGAUAUUGGUGGGGCCAUUGGCAAGAAGCUGACCAAAAUCUCUGCUACAAUUUUUUGGAAGUAAAAAUAGGAAGACUUCAUGAUCAGCAACCUCAACCACAAUGAAUGCAACUCAUAAUCAAGCUAUUUUGUCUCUCAGCAUGCUCUCACUCUCCCUAAGACACAGCUCAUAUUUUUAUCUCUUCUCAGAACUCCCAUCCAUGCUUCUUCCUCCUCCUUGACUUCAGUAAAUGACUUCUCUUAAAACUCUCCCAAGAUGAGAUAGAAGCCAUCAGAAAGGAAUGUCUUCUUUGCAAAUGAGUUCACAGCUACAAAUAGUAGUAUGUUUGAUAUACAUUAUAUGUCUUGUUUUAUUUUAUUGCAUUGAUUAGGCCAUCUAAAACAAUGGUGAAUUAUAAAAGUCAGGUGCAUAGAUGUUAAUGGGAAUGGUUUAAUAGUCAACCCAAGUAUAAUGCUUGCUCUAAGUUUCCGGUGGGUACCCUAGCUCAGUGGUUCUCACCAGAGGCACUGUGGUCACCCCCACCCUGGAGACAUUUGGCAAUGUCUGCAGAGGGUUGCUACUGGCAUCUAGUGGGUAGAGGGCAGUGACACUGUUAAACAUCCUAUAAUGCACAGGAAAGAACCCCACAAUUAUCUGGCCCAUAACAUCAAUAGUGUCACUGUUGGGAAAGCCUGCCUUAGCUCAGGGUCCAGCCCAGUGUUUACAGAAGUGGCCUCUGGAGACAGACUGCCUGGAUUGCAAUCCUGACUCUACUACUUACAAACUGGAGUUCGACCAAAUGAGGUUAAAAUUUCAAUAAAGCCUGAAUUAUGUACA